UAAGAAUGCUUUAAUAUUAAAAUUCAAAUGAAAAAUAUUUAUAUAUACUUGUGGUUGAUUAUGAUUUUAUAUGUAAUCGCAAAUGUAUAAAUAUGCAUAUCAGCUAAGAAACUUUUACAGUUUACAACGUUGAGAACUAUCGCCUAACUAGUCUAAAGUACUUUUGCAACAUGAAAUUAUUUCAAGUGAUUUUUGCAAUUUCCUGUAUAAUUGCCCUCGCCACUGCAACUCCUGGUCAUAAUAUUAUUAAAGGCAAUUCCAAUAAGGGAAAUGUACAGAAAAAUGCUAAUGUCCACGUUGGUAUAGCCGGUUAAUUUACUCAUAUAUAUGUAUAUUAUUAUGGGUGUUUUUGAAUAUGUAUUCCUAAUUGAAAUUUUUAAUAAAUAUGACUAAAUAUAAUAUUUGAUUUUGUAUCACCA